rnacentral:rRNA from 1 species
UACGGAGGGGGCUAGCGUUGUUCGGAAUCAUUGGGCGUAAAGGGCGCGUAGGCGGCCUGCCAAGUCGGGUGUGAAAUCCCUCGGCUCAACCGAGGAACUGCACUCGAUACUGGCUGGCUAGAGUCCGGGAGGGGAUGGUGGAAUUCCCAGUGUAGCGGUGAAAUGCGUAGAUAUUGGGUGGAACACCGGUGGCGAAAGCGGCUCACUGGCUCGGUUCUGACGCUGAGGCGCGAAAAGCGUGGGGAGCAAACAGG